CAGCAUCGGCUAACUCCGUGCCAGCAGCCGCGGUAAUACGGAGGAUGCAAGCGUUAUCCGGAAUUAUUGGGCGUAAAGCGUCCGCAGGUGGUUAAUCAAGUCUGCUGUUAAAGCGUGCGGCUUAACCGCAUAUCGGCAGUGGAAACUGGUUGACUAGAGUUCGGUAGGGGUCACGGGAAUUCCCAGUGUAGCGGUGAAAUGCGUAGAUAUUGGGAAGAACACCAGCGGCGAAAGCGCGUGACUGGGCCUGAACUGACACUGAGGGACGAAAGCUAGGGGAGCGAAAGGGAUUAGAU
rnacentral:rRNA from 1 species